UCCGACCAUCAAAAUCCGUUGAAGUUGCUUAAGUAAAAGUCUCGGAAUUGGUUUAUUUUAUCAACACUCGAUCCACUCGUCAUCAUUUCCGUUUCAACUUUUAAACUCGCAAAAUUUGCGAAAAACUUGUUUGAAAUUGAAUUGCAAUAUGUCAAUAAUGCCGUACAAACUUCUAUUAGCCGUAAUCAACUCUUAUUAUUAAAUAUAAUAUGCAAAUUCCGUGCAGCUACAAGCGACCGUCGUUAGCGUUGAUGAAAACACGAAAAGGAAAAUAACUUCUUACAUUGUAUUACACACAGGCAGAACUUGCAGCGUUAGAAAAACCUAUUUAGACACAGGUGGUGUAUAGUCGAUGAUGAGUAAACAAACGAGGCGUAUAUUGCAAACAUUUUUCGCGUGAAUAUAUACAGAGAUAUAACAUUAUAAUGAAUACGUUUAACUUUACUAAUCCUAUAGGCAUCGAUGAACUUACAAUGACAGGUUACAUUAUGCGUAACCACGUUUGACGAACCCUUGUAUAUAAAGCAGACAAUGUUUUGUAAAGCAAGGAGAAUCACACAUGUUGGAACAUUUGUCGAGGACAGAUUUCAACAGAUUCCAUGAGCUCACAUCACACAAUAUUAUCAUAUUAUCAAAAUAACAGAACGAUUGAUAGGAUGACAUCACCAGUGAAUGAACAGUUAAGAAUAUUUCCUUUUUUAGAUGUCUUUAUCAAUUUAUAUUUUAAUGUUACACUUAUAAAGUUAACAAAUAUUUUUUUUGUAUGGAAAAUUAUUUUUUAUAACAAUAUAAAAAUAUAUAUAGUUAACUAACAUGAAAA